rnacentral:lncRNA from 1 species
UCCAGCUGUGUGGCUUUGGGCAAGUUAUUUAACCUCUCUGUGCCUCAACUUCUUCAUGUAAACUGGCAGUAAUAAUAAUACGAAUGCCACAGAGCUGUGGAUGAAAUGAGCCCAUUCCGGUCUGGCUUCUUUAACCAGGAAGAUGUGGGCUGAGAGCUGUGGAGUAGAUGUCUUCACCAGAUGAGUACACAGAGAAGUAGAGAAUGUGUAUCUGCAGAGUAGGAUGAAGCAGAGACAAGUCUUGUGAAUAAGGUAUUCAGGAAGCACAGCUGUCUUUUGUUCCUGAAGCCGUAUCAGGAUUCAGCAGGAAAGAGCACCAAGAUCACUUGGCAAUGUUUAUCCUGAUCAAGCACGGGCACUGAUGGCAGAAUAGGUGAGAACCAGAGAAAAAUAUUGUUAAGCCCAGGAGCCCAAGCUAUAUGAUCAACUGGAAAGACUCAAUGCAGGACAAAGGACAGAACUCUAAGUCAUCCCUGUGCUCACCUGAGACAAAUGCAUGUCUGAUUGCUUCCACUGAUGUAAAAAUGCAGAUUUGCUGAGUUAGACGAAGACGAUGGCAGAGAGCAGUCUUCAUCCUGAGCCCCAUUCCUAG